ACUAGUGAUGUCAUUUGGGGCAACAAAGUCUAAUAGAAACAUCAAUAAACUGAAACAGACCUAGAGGAGAGAAAACCAAAGAAAGACCAGGGAUCGAACUUGCACCCUCUGCAUUGGAAGGCGAAGUCUUAACCACUGGACCACCAAGGUUUAUAGAAACAUUGUGACCAGGCCUACCUGGACAGCUGAAAGGACAAUGGAUUCUGGUGCCAAGAAGUCUGCAACAACCAGCCACACCCACUCCCCUUUUAGUACAAAAGAAGCCUGAAUUCUAACUCCGAUUAAGAUGGUUCUUUAGGACACUAGUCCACUAUCUUCUCCAUCUGCUGGCUUUCUGAAUAAAGUUGCUAUCCUUU